GCCCUCCUUUAUGUCCCUUCUGGAGCAACGAGUGGACAAACACCUAUAGUGGACAGCAGCAGGAUAUCACAGGAAACCCUGUUAAUCAACGAUGUGGCCGUGGACUUCCCCUGGGGGGGAGGGCAGCUCCUGGCCCCCACUCAGAAGGGUGUGAUGUUAUACCGGGACGUGAUGUUGGAGAACUACAGCGACCUGGUGUCAGUGGGUGAGGACAGCUCCCCUGUGUCACCAGGGGGCCCCCUUCGGUGGCCUUUUCUCCCAGCUGCUGAAAUCUCUGGCAUGUCCACAGUGCUCUCAGCAGUGGCUCCUCAGAUCCUCUGGCGUCAGACAAGCAUACAUAAUGUUCCCCCUCUUGACAGAAGUCUCUGCUUUGCUGAUGUGAACACUGUCUAGUCCCUAAAUGUAGUAUUCUCCCAUCUUGACAUCCCAGCCCAAUCCCGCAGGUCUAAGUCUCUCGUUAUUUCCCACCAACAGGGUAUGAAGCCAGCAAGCCAAACACACUCUUCAAGUUGGAACGAGGGAAGAGCCGUGGAUGGUAGAAGAUGAAGCCCACAGUCGGAUCUGUGUGGGUGAGCGGGGCAGAACCAGCCAGCUGGGCAGCUGAGAAAGGCAUAGUCGGGUCGGUCAGAGAAGCCUCCCCAACUAUGCGUGUCUGAGGAUGUGUAGACGGCUGCUCCUUGAAUGCUUCCCAUGAGAGAGCCUUCUCUUGGGAGGAGUCUAGGGGGGAAUACACCCCUUGGUAUUCUGAGAGCUGAUCCCACCAGAUCCCUGUUUAUUUUAGACAUGCAAGCGGCUCAAGAAAAGACCCCAUUAGUCAACGAGGAACCGCAAACCAAAACCCCAGUGAGAUACUACUUCAUAACCACCGGGAUGGCGAGAAUCAAAAGUUUCUUCUUCUUCUCUAGAUUUUCUGCGUCUGAGGGUCAGAGUUAAAGCGGAAAGCUGAUUUUGUUCAACCGCAAGCAUCCAGUGCCCGGGGACUGAGGAGGAGCAGAAAAGAAAAACAGAAAGCUAGUGAAUCAGUGCAGGAAUGUCUGCUUGGGCCCUUGCAAGCUGCCUACUUCAUGUGUCUGCACCCUAGCCCCUCUCCCACGGUUUCCCCUCGAAAAGCCCUGACCG